GACGAACGCUGGCGGCGUGCUUAACACAUGCAAGUCGAGCGGUAAGGCCCGUUUCGGGGUACACGAGCGGCGAACGGGUGAGUAACACGUGGGUGACCUCGCCCUCAGCUCUGGGAUAAGCCCGGGAAACUGGGUCUAAUACCGGAUAUGACUUCAUGACGCAUGUUGUGGAGUGGAAAGCCUUGUGCGGCUGAGGGACUGGGCCCGCGGCCUAUCAGCUUGUUGGUGGGGUGANGGCCUACCAAGGCGACGACGGGUAGCCGGCCUGAGAGGGCGACCGGCCAC
rnacentral:rRNA from 1 species